UGAUAACAUAAGGAUAUCCCAGCCAUCAUUUGUGUGUUCCCCGGGCUCCAUCAGGAAAAUGUUUAAUUGCCUGACCUGCCCAGAAGGAACAUACCAUGACGUCGAUGAAGAGAAAUGCGCAGCGUGUCCAUUUGGUCAGUAUCAGGACGAAGUUGGUCAGUUGAAGUGCAAGCAGUGCCCCAAUGACACUACCACCGACAGAAUUGGAGUGAAAAACGUGUCCAAGUGCAGAACUUACGAAGGUUGUAGUUGUGGAAUACAUCCAUGUAUACUAAAUGGUACAG